rnacentral:sRNA from 1 species
UUGAAAUGAAAAAUAGCCGCCCAUUCGCACGGUGGGCAGUUGUGCGGCGGACAGACUCGACAGUGGGCGUGGCAGUCACUGGGCGACUGCGGAGGCUGAGGACAUAAAACUGAAGUCAGACCCAGAAAGUGGAGGCCAGCUCUGGAAAAGCCACAAGGAGCUGGAUACCUGGACAUCGGGAGAGACCUGCAGAGCCGCAAAAGCUGACCAAAAGUGCAUUUCACGCUGGCUAAUGAAACAAAUUAUAAGUGGCCACUGUCGUCGGAGUUUUGCGGAAACCAAACCAUGGGCAGUGUUUUCGGGCUUGAGGAUCGGAUCGGAAUCGGGAUCUGGAAAUGCGAUACUUUCUUUAGAGCGCCUGUUUUGAAUUUCUGCUUAUUACCGAAUAUUUUUCUGUCGCAAAACAAUGGUUUGUUCGCAGGUUGGUAACUUAACUCUCUCUUUCUCUGGCAUUUAGUUCCCUCCCGGCUGAUUACGAAGACUAUGGCCAUAAUUAUGAUGAUGAUGAUGAUGAUGAAUGCUUGGCGCGUGACGCAUGCGCUGAAAACAAAGAACCUGGGAUAUCAGGAGAAGAAUUUCAGUUCUUGGGCAUCAUCAUGGCAUCGAAACCUCAAGUGAUUCAGUCUAUGGCGUUGAGUCAACUGACUGAAUAAUUUCCCAUUCACCCAUGGGCAAUAAAUAACUUCGGAAAUUCAAUGUUGAUAGUGAA